rnacentral:lncRNA from 1 species
AUACUUGUAAUCGGGCUUCGACCCGACUUUGUAAACUUCCUUUUGACUUUGAAUGAAAACUUCCCUUAUUUUUUUCCUUGUCUGUUUCUUUCAUGUAUAUUGUUGAAUGUCUUCGUGAGUCGCUAACCCAUGUAAGUCGCUAACUCACAUAAGUCGGUUAGGACGUUCGGCAACUCGUGCCGCCACGAAGGUAGAGUAAGUCCCGACUUUGGAUCGGCCUUUGAUAGUCAAGGUCGUUAGUCGGGCGCGUCUGCUGAGUCGGGAGCCGACCGAACGUGGUAAAGGUUCAGUAGUCGGGUCUCCACUGACGCGUUCAGUCGAAUGUCGUCCGGCGCAUUCAGUCGAGGGAGCACCGAUAAGUCGGACCCCGAUACCCUUGCGUCGGGUAUACUUACUGUGCCUCGCGAUAUACGGUGGUAGGCCGAAUAUCUCCCGGCCGGCCGUAGCCCGGUCGGUAAAUCAUGAAUGCGACUGAGGUCGCAUUGUGCGAUAGACGGUGGUAAGCCGAAUAUCUUUCGACCGGCCGUAGCUCGGUCGGGAGUCGCGACGUCGGUCGCGUAGGCAUUUCGCCUUUCUUUGGUCGGGGCCCGAUUGGUAUGUCGGCCGAUGGUCUGGC